UCCUGGAUAGCUCAGUCAGUAGAGCAUGGAACUCUUCAUCUCAGAGUUGUGGUUUCAAGCCCCAGGUUGGGCA